rnacentral:tRNA from 1 species
UCCCUGGUGGCCUAAUGGUUAAGGGCUUGGCAUUGUCAUGGCUAUGGCUUGGGUUUGAUCCCUGGCCCAGGAA